CGAAAGCCGACGGUUCUCCGCCCAGGUCUUUAAGGCCCUGCCUACCCCCGGGCCGGAUGCAACUCUGCCCAGCUCUGAGAAGAGGGCAGGAUGCAGGUUGUAAGCCUAGUGAUCCACAAGAGGCUGAUUUUUCACACAUUAACCUCACUGUCUUCACAUCAAUACCAAGAGGUACACCAGUCAGGCCCUCUAUGCCACAGCCACCUCGCUGUCUACAGGACUCUUCCGCAUGAGAGCAUCCAUGUGGCUGGCCCUGCCUGGAGCUCACGAUGGUCCUGCUUACAGGGCGAAUUUUGCGCUGAGUCAGCGAGCUGGGCCAAGACGGCAGGGCAGCAGGCCCAGGCCAGGUGUUCUGGGUGGCCCAGGAAGAUGAGCCAUCAGCCUCUCCUUUCCACACCUGUCCUGAGGUCAGAACGAACUUGAGUCCAGCAGGGUCCCUGAGCCAGGGAAUUUCUGUGACUGCAAAGGCUGGGGCUGCUGAGUCUGGAGGGUCAGAAUCCACACAGGUGUCAAGCUGGAUAAGCCGAUGAGGGGAGCCCCCUGGGCCCCACCUGGCCCACUGUGCCCUGGUAGUCUAGCCUGAAAGAGAUGAUUAACUACUAUAUAUAGAUGAAUGUUUCUCUGGAUUAAC
rnacentral:lncRNA from 1 species